AAACAGAAUAACCUUUGAGGUGCUUAGCAAUAAGAGAAUAGGGAAACCGGUGUGAGUCCGGUGCGAACCCAUCACUGUAAACAGGGACAAAGCCUGAAAAGCCACUGGAGCAAUCCGGGAAGGCGGGCCGCGGAGGAGCUGUAAGCCAGGAGACCUGCCUUAAAGAAGAAAUACGU
rfam:Eubacterium limosum KIST612, complete genome.